CCUACGGGAGGCAGCAGUGGGGAAUAUUGCACAAUGGGGGAAACCCUGAUGCAGCGACGCCGCGUGCGGGAUGAAGGCCUUCGGGUUGUAAACCGCUUUCAGCAGGGACGAAAUUGACGGUACCUGCAGAAGAAGCACCGGCUAACUACGUGCCAGCAGCCGCGGUAAUACGUAGGGUGCAAGCGUUGUCCGGAAUUAUUGGGCGUAAAGAGUUCGUAGGCGGUUUGUCGCGUCCGUUGUGAAAGCUUGGGGCUCAACCCCAAGUCUGCAGUGGAUACGGGCAGACUAGAGUCAGGUAGGGGAGAACGGAAUUCCUGGUGUAGCGGUGAAAUGCGCAGAUAUCAGGAGGAACACCGGUGGCGAAGGCGGUUCUCUGGGCCUGUACUGACGCUGAGGAACGAAAGCGUGGGGAGCGAACAGGAUUAGAUACCCUGGUAGUCCACGCCGUAAACGGUGGGCGCUAGAUGUGGGGACCUUCCACGGUUUCUGCGUCGCAGCUAACGCAUUAAGCGCCCCGCCUGGGGAGUACGGUCGCAAGACUAAAACUCAAAGGAAUUGACGGA
rnacentral:rRNA from 1 species